CCACAACUUGAGGAACAUCACCUCCAUUUUAAACGCAUGGAAGCAAAUAUUCAGGAAAAUCAGCUCCAGAAUCGCACAGCUGCUAAGUCACUUGGCUGACCAGAAGAGGAAUCAUGACUCAGACUCCAAGCCUGAAGGGUUUUUCAUUAAAGCCCAGGCCUGAGUAGAAGACAGGUUAAACCUGGGAGGGAGAAAGAAUGCUCUUGCAGGGAUAAAAACUGGAAAUUGUCCACUUGGUUUUUUCUGUUUGCAUGUAGUAAUGGAAAGACCCACCAACUAGGCAGUGCAAAAACAGCUUUCAGCACUGCCUAGCUGUGAGAACUUGGGGCAAAUCUAUCAAACAUCCUGAAGCUGUUUACUCAUCUGCAAAAUGGACACAGAAACACCUGCUCUGAGAUCUUCACGGGCGGUGGUCAGAGUGAUGUGAGAAAGAGCCUGCAGCAGAGCGCUGUGAAACUGUCAAGUGCUUGACAGCUGUGGGCCGGUGUCUCUAAGGCUUUGUCUUUCCUCGGUCACGUCUGGCAGCUCUGCUAAAGUGAGCUCUGCAGGGAGCCCCCACUGCAGUCACUGGGCCUCGGCUGGAAGCCCUGUGGGUGCCCCACUGGCGGGCAGAGAUUGGGCCCUUGUCCGCCUGGUUCCAGGGUGGGCAAUCUGGGAGGUGACCCCAGUGUGGACGCAGCAGCUGCUGCUUAUCUGUAGUCAGUCAGCGACCUGGACAGAUGAGGUGUCCGUGGCGACCUUCCUGCCUCAGACCUUCUGGAAAACUAGCCUCGGUCCGAGGUGGCCUGAGGAGACCUAAAGAGCUAUGUGUGAGAGAAGAAAAAGGACGCCGUGUCACACCUCCCUGCGCUGGGAACAUGCAGAUGAUUUACUUUGUGGACUGAUGUCAUGCAGUCUUUCAUCUCACGUUGGCUACGCUCCACCACUUCCCUCCACCAUCAGUGGUGCCUCGGAAGCUGGACUUGAAGAAGAACUUCACAUGUUUCAGCUGUAACUUCACUGCAUGGAGGCUGGGAGAAUAAAGUACACUGGAGUGCACUUCACUCUACAGGAGGAGAGACACAUGGUUCAACUGCAUCUUCACUGCAUGAUGGCUGAGAGAGCAAAGAAUAGUGGAGUGCACUCACUCUACAGGAGGAGAGACAGGUAAAUUAAGUGUUUCCUAGUCCUUUUGUAGUGAGCCAGGGAUAUUAUCAAGCCUAGUUCUUUCACAUUUUAGUUGUGCUUUUUAAAGGUAAGAUGAUGUGUAUUUGUUGUUGAUUCCUAAGUCUAGCCCAGUGCCUAACAUACAGUAUAUACUCAAUAACUAUGUGUUUAAGAAAUGAACUGGACAAGGAAAGGGAAUAGGAAAGACAAUUAG
rnacentral:lncRNA from 1 species